CCUACGGGAGGCAGCAGUGAGGAAUAUUGGUCAAUGGGCGUAAGCCUGAACCAGCCAAGUCGCGUGAGGGAUGAAGGUUCUAUGGAUCGUAAACCUCUUUUAUAAGGGAAUAAAGUGAGGGUCGUGUCCCGUUUUGUAUGUACCUUACGAAUAAGGAUCGGCUAACCUCGUGCCAGCAGCCGCGGUGAUACGGAGGAGCCGAGCGUUAACCGGAUUUAUUGGGUGUAAAGGGUGCGUAGGCGGGCUUUUAAGUCAGGGGUGAAAGUCUGUGGCUCAACCAUAGAAUUGCCGUUGAAACUGGGAGGCUGGAGUGUGUGAGAGGAAGGCGGAAUGCGUGGUGUAGCGGUGAAAUGCUUAGAUAUCACGCAGAACCCCGAUUGCGAAGGCAGCCUGCCAAGCCAUGACUGACGCUGAUGCACGAAAGCGUGGGGAUCAAACAGGAUUAGAUACCCGAGUAGUC
rnacentral:rRNA from 1 species